AUUGAACGCUGGCGGCAGGCUUAACACAUGCAAGUCGAACGAGUGGCGGACGGGUGAGUAAUGUCUGGGAAAGUGCCUGGUGGAGGGGGAUAACUACUGGAAACGGUAGCUAAUACCGCAUACCAUCGGAUGUGCCCAGAUGGGAUUAGCUAGUAGGUGGGGUAAAGGCUCACCUAGGCGACGAUCCCUAGCUGGUCUGAGAGGAUGACCAGCCACACUGGAACUGAGACACGGUCCAGACUCCUACGGGAGGCAGCAGUGGGGAAUAUUGCACAAUGGGCGCAACCCUGAUGCAGCCAUGCCGCGUGUAUGAUGAAGGCCCUAGGGUUGUAAAGUACUUUCAGUCGGGAGGCGUUACCUGCAGAAGAAGCACCGGCUAACUCCGUGCCAGCCGCCGCGGUAAUAC
rnacentral:rRNA from 1 species